rnacentral:rRNA from 1 species
CGUGGGUAACCUGCCCAAGAGAUCGGGACAACACCUGGAAACAGAUGCUAAUACCGGAUAACAACAGAUGAUGCCUAUCAACUGUUUAAAAGAUGGUUCUGCUAUCACUCUUGGAUGGACCUGCGGUGCAUUAGCUAGUUGGUAGGGUAACGGCCUACCAAGGCGAUGAUGCAUAGCCGAGUUGAGAGACUGAUCGGCCACAUUGGGACUGAGACACGGCCCAAACUCCUACGGGAGGCAGCAGUU